AACGAACGCUGGCGGCAGGCUUAACACAUGCAAGUCGAGCGGGCCCGCAAGGGUCAGCGGCGGACGGGUUAGUAACGCGUGGGAACGUGCCUUUUGCUUCAGAAUAGCCCUGGGAAACUGGGGGUAAUACCGGAUGUGCCCUGAGGGGGAAAGAUUUAUCGGCAAGAGAUCGGCCCGCGUUGGAUUAGGUAGUUGGUGGGGUAACGGCCCACCAAGCCGACGAUCCAUAGCUGGUUUGAGAGGAUGAUCAGCAACACUGGGACUGAGACACGGCCCAGACUCCUACGGGAGGCAGCAGCGGGGAAUCUUAGACAAUGGGCGCAAGCCUGAUCUAGCCAUGCCGCGUGGGUGAUGAAGGCCUUAGGGUCGUAAAGCCCUUUCGCCGGGGAAGAUAAUGACGGUACCCGGUAAAGAAACCCCGGCUAACUCCGUGCCAGCAGCCGCCGUAA
rnacentral:rRNA from 1 species